GACGAACGCUGGCGGCGUGCUUAACACAUGCAAGUCGAACGGAAAGGCCCUGCUUUUGUGGGGUGCUCGAGUGGCGAACGCGUGAGUAACACGUGAGUAACCUGCCCUUCACUUUGGGAUAACUUCAGGAAACUGGGGCUAAUACCGUAUAGGAGCUCCUGCUGCAUGGUGGGGGUUGGAAAGUUUCGGCGGUUGGGGAUGGACUCGCGGCUUAUCAGCUUGUUGGUUGGGUAGUGGCUUACCAAGGCUUUGACGGGUAGCCGGCCUGAGAGGGUGACCGGCCACAUUGGGACUGAGAUACGGCCCAGACUCCUACGGGAGGCAGCAGUGGGGAAUAUUGCACAAUGGGAGGAAGCCUGAUGCAGCAACGCCGCGUGCGGGAUGACGGCCUUCGGGUUGUAAACCGCUUUCGCCUGUGACGAAGCGUGAGUGACGGUAAUGGGUAAAGAAGCACCGGCUAACUACGUG
rnacentral:rRNA from 1 species